CACCCUUCUCGGCCUCUUGGCUAAGAUCAAUUUGUAGUACCUGUUCUUAUCAGCGUGAUAGCUGAUAUGGUCUUAAUUAAGACCUUAUCAAUUUUCACAUUAAUUUUUGUUUGGGGAAAGUAAAAUAGAAGCUUGCUUCGUUUAUCUUUCGCGCGUUGUCCUACUCUUGCACUAUAAGUUUGUACGGCGCACCCUUU
ensembl:snRNA U2 U2 spliceosomal RNA